rnacentral:tRNA from 1 species
UAUAAAGUGCCUGAAAUAGGGUUAUUUUGAUAGAAUAAAUCAUGUAAAUUUGUUGUUUACCUUUAUAU